AGGCAGCAUCUCCCCGCCUGCAGACCAAGAGCCAGGCAUGAGACGGCAGGAGCGCCGACCUGCAGGUCUGUCUGCAGCAGGACGCACGGCGGCUGACUCAGCGGAGACUUGCCCGGAACCUGGCUGCCAGUGGCCACCCCGCCGUAUAUGGAGUGCGCAGGCCAGGGAUCAGAUCCAAGCUGCAGCUGUGGCCAUGCUGGAUCCUUAACCCACUGUGCGGGCUGGGAUCAAACCCAAGUCCUAGUGUUCCCAAGACGCCGCCGAUCCCAUUGUGCCACAGCGGGAACUCCGUUUCCCACUGCCAACGCUGAGCCGUCCCGAGGAGGAGCAGAGCAGAAGCCUCCAGCAAAGAAUAAAACAACAAGGCCUCUACCAUGCCGCCCCUUCUGCCACCAUCGAUUCCACCAGGACAAAGCUAAGAUGUCAUGAGUUCAGAGAGCUCGAAGUGUCGUCAGAAGGAGGCUGCACCCACAGCAGGCAGAAGUUCCUGGGCCAAGAAUCGAACCCACACCACAGCAGCGACCCUAGCCACUGUUGUGACAAUGCCGAAUCCCUAGCCUGCUGGACCACACGGGAACCCCCGAACUGAGAUUUCCUCAUUCAACGCCCUUCCUGUGACACGGCUUCGCUUAAGGAUGCUGUGUUUGUGUCUCUCAGCUCACUCACUAGAUCCUGGGAAGCGAGACUCCUUUCUAAUUUCCCCUCUGUUUCCCUUGCCCCUGUCAGAGGGGCACGGCCAUGGCAAGGAGCUGAAGAAAGAGCCAGGAGGCAUAGCUGGCACUUACUGAGUGCUCUCUCAGGACCCUGCAUUGUUCCAAGUCUUUCUUAAGUAUGUGAACACCCCUAAGAGACGGGUGCCAUCGUGACGCCUUUUCACAGAUGCGGAGAGAGGACAUUCUCAGAAUGCCCCAGGGGAUACGUGCUCUUAAAACUUUCAACAUGGUGAAGGCCUGGGAGGUGGUGGACCGCGACAAGAACGCUGGGAGUGUGACCAGCACAGGCCCGGAGGCGCCCAGGGCCUCAUCUCUCCGCGUCUGAGCUCCCGGUUUCACGCUCAGCCAAGGAAUUCGAGCUUCACUUUUAGCGUCAGGGAGAAAACUAAAGAUUGGUAUUGACCGGUACCUUCUUUUUCAAAAUGCACACAAAACAUGCAUGUUUCUCCUUACUCUUUCUUUUUUUUUUUUUUUUUUUUUUUUUUUUUUUUUUUUUUUUUUUUUUUUUGAGGUUUUUGCUGCACAUUUAGGAGUCAGAAUCUGCAUGAUAUUUAGGAUGAAGAAAGGUUGAGUUUUUAAUCUCAGAGCACAAGUUCUCGGGUAACUUUCAAGUUCCUCAGAAUCUUCUGAUUUUCCAUCUGGUUCGAAACCUUAGUUCCAUGUGCAGUUGGCAAUGGCAUUUUCUCCCACUAGCGACUUCUGCAUUUGCUCUCCAGCCUUCAGUUGUGUGCGUGGCUGUGGGCAUGGGUACGAGCACCCUUUCCGGGCGCCCAGACCUUCGCGUGCUCAGGUCCCCAUUGGCAAGGGCUCCUAGAGGUGAACCAGAGUCCUCCCUCCAGGCAGGAGGCACAGGCACGGCCCCGCUCCUCAAAGUGCCGAGAUCCAGGCAGUGUAGACAUGCAGAGAAGCUGUUCUCGGGGACAUACCCAAUACAGGAAAUGAAAGACGGAAACGAUGGUUUCAACCAAGUGAGAGCAGAACUGAAAGUCUGCAAAUAAAAAUUACAGAUCCUUAAUCACAAUUUUCUCUCCGCACAGGCUGUAUAAAAGCGUGCCAUUCUCUAAGAGGCUUGCCAUGUUUUCAAGACCUCUUGAGUCGUCGUGACUUCUGCCUCUUGACUUCGAUUCGACUCCGCAAGCAAUAAAACAGUAAAAGCACCUCAUUUCCUGCUCUCCAUGUACUGCAUUAAGGAGGUAUUUCUCCACCAGAGCUGCAGCUCCGAGGACCCUUCUGCCCGCCCGGCCGGGCUGCUCAGCUGGGUCCUCUCUCCAGACUUUCUUGAGGAAGCAGAGAAGCAUCUCAAACCCCAGCUUUUUGGUUCAUUUCUAUGCCAAACAUCUGGGGCUUGAAAAAGAACUGUGCAUGGAGAUAAAGUCACCACCGACUCUGUGGAAAGGAGCAUUAGGCAAAAAAGAAGUCGGACGCAUUAAUUAAAAUGGAAGACUAAAUGAGCUGCAGAAAAGGUCGUGAGCCAGGGUCCCCGUGUGGGAUCUCAUCCCCUUCAGGUUAAUUCUCUCAUCCUUCGGGUUCUUGCUUUUGACCUGCUGAAUUUGCAGACUUAGGAAACAGGACAUACAUGCAAACAAGUUCCGGCAAGCAACAGCUCGCAAACAAGAUGUUGCAGUGAAGGCUCAGAGAGGUCGAGGGACUCACCCACAGCCACACACAGCUCAGACGUGGCCAACAGGGCUGGAACUCAGUUUUCCAGCCCAUCUCAUUCUCUUGCCCCACAGGGCCUCUCAGGGCACAAGUCACUGCCUGACAAUCCAGAUUUAUGUGGACAUGCCUUGCAUUUCUUCAGGGAGCCUCAGCCAGGCCUUCCCUCUUCUGUGAGGUCAGGGGUGUGGCACCUCUUGCAUGUGUGCCCAGGAGCUUACGGAGAAACGUGUCCGGCCACUUUCCCGAGGCUUGACAGAUUUUCCCACAAUGGCGUGAAUGGACAAGAAAAUGCAGCUUUGCUUGACGGCCCCACCCCAGUGCCCCUCUCCUGACUCACAAGUCACCUGGGGUGCCAGCCCAGGAGACCCGGGUCACUGCCACGCCUCGAUGAAAACCUGCUCCCCGUGAGCCUGGCUAACACCCCAGUUAUUCGGCAUUGCUGAGGGGUCACGGACAGUUUAGCUGUUAAAGGUCUGGGUGAUGGGCUGGGGUCAGGGACACGGGCAUGCUGGGCCUUAGGGACCACCAUCCUGAAACAGGGACUGUAAAUCCUGUGCUCACGGUUUGGGGGAGACUAACAGGAGGUGAUCUUCAAUGUGCCGUGUGGAUUCGGGGGACACAACGGUCGGUCCACAGCAGCUGUGUGACACCUGCAGAGCAGCAGUGGGCCUCGCAAGCCCAGGCUGCACAGGAUGAGGGCUGAUCCUGUGGCAACCCGUACUCCAUCCCCCGCACGCCACGCGGCUUGCCCGCAGUGUCCAAGGUCAGGGAAUCGGUCAUGACCGUGAUUCAGCAGGAAGCAGACAAGAGAGCAGAGCCAAAAGGCCUGGGUUCUCCUCUCAGCUCUGACACUAACACUACCGGAUUUAAUAGCAUUUGUCGUCCAGACCCAGGGCGUCACACGCGAGGAGUCACAGGCAGGGAAAAGAAAGCUGCGGUGCUGCAAUCAGUCCAGGCUGAGGCCAUGUUCGCGGGGGUGGAUCCAACAGUUUUACCAUCUGCUCUAAAAGGCCAGCACCUGCCAAGGGGAAACUCCUCCUCUCCAGGCCCUGCCUCCUGAGGUGCUGACAUUCCUAACCCCUUCGGACGUCAGAAGGUGGCCACUCCAGAGCUUAAGCGACUUCACGAGGCCUCAUGGUUAGAAACUUCCAGAGCUGGCAUUUGAUGCCAGGUCUGCUGGAUUCUAAAACACGCCCUCUUCUCACCUAAGACCUUACAGAGACCUGUCCCCAAGAAGCUGGACUUGGUCUGCCACUCACUGCUGUUAUAGAAGAAGGACGGAGAGGUGGUUGCCUGUGUGGGCCAUUGCACUGGGAGGGGACAGGGCACAGAAGCUGAGGACUCAGAAGGGAAGUUCUGUCAAGGUAGUGACCCGCCUGUUCAGUUGGAAGGUGCAAGCUUCAUUUUUGGUCUGUGCCCACUCUGCUUUGCGUCUGUUGCCAUGGUUACUUCUAGUAGGGGAUAAAGGAGUCUGGCCACUGUCCGGCUGCUGGGCUGUCCUGAGGUCAUUUUACACCCAGUGUUUUCUCUGUCUUUAUUUUUUUUUUAGCCACACACGUGGCUUAUGGAAGUCUCCAGGACCAGGGAUGAAAUCCCAGUUCAGCUGCAGCCUACACCACAACUGCAGCAAUGCUGGAUCCUUAACCCACGGCACCACAGUGGGAACUCCUACAUUUUCUCUAUCCUUGAAUCGCAGCAAACUUGAACCUUCAGAAUGGCAAUGUCAAGUGUAGACAACGCAUGCUGAACUCCUUCCUGACUUGGGCAAAUAAGGGGGAUCCGAUCAUUUCACAGCAAGGCGGCCUCUGGUCAGCUCUCAUUGAUACCAUUCUCUCAGGGAGGUUUCCUCUGCCAGCAAUGCCCGUCCCCUUUAUAGGAAAAGACUCAGCAGUGGGCUAUAAGGAAAACUCUGACUGAUCAUUAUGCAAAGAUGACUAUUUCUUCACGACACGCGUGUCCCGGAGAGGAGACGGCAGCAGCCUCUCCUGGCGAGGCAGGAAGCAGGCCGCUGCAACCCUGCCUAAUUUCUGUCUGUCGUCUUUGAGGGUAGCUGGCUGGGGUAGGAUGGCCACGUCCGGGCAUAUGCCAUGAAUAGUCUUAGCUGCGGGCAUCGGACCGAGGAUGAGGGCGGUGCCUGUGUGCGCUGUUUGGGACUCAAAGUGUUUCUGCAUCUGUGCAUUUCAGGAGCCCACUAGAAACUUAUUUUCCCUGUGUUGCAAAGAAGAAGUCACGGGGUCGCCGGUAAGUGAGUGCAGCUGAUGCACGCCGCCCGCCUCGGCGCCAGCUCCUGCGCUCAUCGUUUCCAGUCCUAAGGACGACUCGGCACCUUGGCUAUUUAUUGCCAUCCCCAGCCUUACCCCUGAGGACGCCAAAGCAGAAGAAGGUGAGGAGGCAGCGGCACUGUGGCACUGGAACCCUAUCCACCUGCCGGGGUGUUUUCCUGUGUGGGCGGCGCUGAAGGCUGCACGGUCUCAGGGUUCUCGGGGGACAGGCUUCUGCCUCAGAGAAGCUGAGCAUCUUGGCCAAAGUGACAAAGCCAGCAGUGGACCUUGGUGGGACACCCGUCCUUAGGCUCUGGGGCAUUUUAUUUGCUGCCGAGAUGUCCCGAAAGAAUAGUUCCCUGGGAUGGGUCACAAAAAUCAAUUGAAUGGAAGAAAGUUGCUAAAAGGAAGGAGACGCGCCAGGAAAGUUUUUAUCCAAGGGAUUUGGGACAAAAACAACGGCCUCCAAGAAAAAAGUGGAUGAGGUCUUGUUUCCUAUGGGUCUGGGUACCAGGAAAAUAUUCACAUGGGUGCUUUAUUUACACCAGCAGCCGCCGCCUGCUGGGAACUUGUGGCUUAGAUAAGAGAAGAUUCAGGGCUUCUGAACCCUCCCGGGCUACACAGGUGCAUGUGGGAGGGAUUUAAACUCAAUUUUUCAUCACAAACACUCACUGAAUCAGGUUACUUUUUUUUUUUUUCUUUUUAGGCUGCACCCAUGGCAUAUGGAGGUUCCCAGCCUAGGGGUCGAAUUGGAGUUGCACCUGCCGGCCUACACCACAGCCACAGUAACAUCAGAGCCGAGCUGCAUCUGCGACUUACACCACAGCUCAUGGCAACGCCAGACCCUUAACCCACUGAGCAAGAGGCCAGGGAUGGAACCCGCAACUUCACAGUUCCUAGUCAGAUUCAUUUCCACUGUACCAGGAUGGGAACUCCGAAUCAGGUUACUUUUAACUGGAAAAAUACUGCAUUCAUCUGGCAAUGCCUGCCUACAGUGAAUACAAAUACGCAGUGAGCAGUGAGAGCUGAAUCACCCAUUGACCUUGAAGGAAAAGACGGCCCCUCUGACUGCAAGCAGCAAAACCGACCUGGAGUGUCAGACUCAGAAGCGCAUUGUGAGAAAGGAGGUGUGGGAUCUGUAUACGGUUUAGCUAGUCACCCGGGGACACCCAGUUGAUUCCUCCUGUGCCAAAGACUCACAUCCAGAAUUAAAAAGGCUUUGUUCA
rnacentral:lncRNA from 1 species